rnacentral:rRNA from 1 species
UACGUAGGGUGCGAGCGUUGUCCGGAUUUAUUGGGCGUAAAGAGCUCGUAGGCGACUUGUCGCGUCGGAUGUGAAAGCCCGGGGCUUAACUCCGGGUCUGCAUUCGAUACGGGCAGGCUAGAGUGUGGUAGGGGAGAUCGGAAUUCCUGGUGUAGCGGUGAAAUGCGCAGAUAUCAGGAGGAACACCCGUGGCUAAGGCGGCUCUCUAGUACGGUACUGACGCUGAGACGCGAAAGCGUGGGGAGCGAACAGG